GACGAACGCUGGCGGCGUGCCUAAUACGUGCAAGUAGAACGCACAGUUUAUACCGUGGCUUGCUACACCAUAGACUGUGAGUUGCGAACGGGUGAGUAACGCGUAGGUAACCUGCCUGGUAGCGGGGGAUAACUAUUGGAAACGAUAGCUAAUACCGCAUAAUAUUAAUUAUUGCAUGAUAAUUAAUUGAAAGGGGCAAUUGCACCACUACCAGAUGGACCUGCGUUGUAUUAGCUAGUAGGUGAGGUAACGGCUUACCUAGGCGACGAUACAUAGCCCCCCUUCGUGCGGGAUCGGCCUCCCUGGGACUUAGAAACAGCCCAGACUCCUACGGGAGGCAGCAAUAGGGAAUCUUCGGAGAUCGACGAGAGUCUGAACGAGAAACGCCGCGUGAGUGAUGAAGGGUCUCGGAUCCGAAAGCUCCGUUGUAAGAGAAGAACGGGUGUGAGAGUGGAAAGUUCACUCUGUGACGGUAUCUUACCAGAGAGGGACGGCUAACUACGUG
rnacentral:rRNA from 1 species